AGUGAACGCUGGCGGUAGGCCUAACACAUGCAAGUCGAACGGCAGCACAGUAAGAGCUUGCUCUUACGGGUGGCGAGUGGCGGACGGGUGAGGAAUACAUCGGAAUCUACUUUUUCGUGGGGGAUAACGUAGGGAAACUUACGCUAAUACCGCAUACGACCUGCGGGUGAAAGCAGGGGAUCUUCGGACCUUGCGCGAUUGAAUGAGCCGAUGUCGGAUUAGCUAGUUGGCGGGGUAAAGGCCCACCAAGGCGACGAUCCGUAGCUGGUCUGAGAGGAUGAUCAGCCACACUGGAACUGGGACAGGGUCCAUACUCCUACGGGAGGCAGCAGUGUGGAAUAUUGGACAAUGGGCGCAAGCCUGAUCCAGCCAUACCGCGUGUGUGAAGAAGGCCUUCGGGUUGUAAAGCCCUUUUGUUGGGAAAGAAAAGCAGCAGGUUAAUACCCCGCUGUUCUGACGGUACCCAAAGAAUAAGCACCGGCUAACUUCGUG
rnacentral:rRNA from 1 species